UUAGGAGAUAUUUAACUGUUAUUUCUAGCAGGGGCCUCCAGCACUGAUGGAAGGGAGAAAAGUUUUCCUCAAACCAGAAACCCAGUCUGAAUACUUAGAAAGACGUGAACGCCACUGAAGGUAUCCAAGGAUUAGAUGGUGCUAUUGAAGUAAGCAAUGGAUUAAAUCUAACCUACCAAAGUGAAGUAUGGGGAUUCUUAGAUUAGUACUAAAAGGAUUAAUUCAAUGUUUUACUAUAUAUAUACCACUUCACCACUUAAUAUUGCCUACAUCAGUUAAGUAGGAAUAAACUCUGGUUACUAUAGCAUUAUCAAGGAAUUAGCAAUCUAUCUGGCAUUAACAUCAGUUUAGGUUGUAAAUCAUUUAUACCUGUCUCACUAACUGCAGAUAAGUCUGAGAUCAAAGUACAAGAAAAAGAAGUUCCAACAGUUAUCAGUGACAUUAAUUAGGCUGAUUACAAAGACAACUAAAAUAUGCCUAUUUUUGCUAAUGACACACACACACACACACACCACACACACACACACGUACACAACAGUUGAUGCAAAACAUUGUUAUCUGUCCUUGAUCUACUAUCCUUCCAAAAAUAAUGAGAAGCACUAACACUGCUCCACUAUCUCUUAAACCACCCCCAAAAGUUUGCACUACCAUUACAAAGCCACAAUUUGAAAACAAACAUCACCAAAACAAAUGCUUGACUCAACAAUGAAUUACAUCAAAACAAAAUAUAUAUUCCACUUCAAUAUUUAUCUUUAUUUUGACAUAACACUUCUAUGACUCAUUUUUGUAUUAGACACGCAAGAUUCUUGCUGUGAACUCAUGUGUUGAAACAUAUUUUGUUGCGUCUUGGGAGGGUCAUUAGCCAAUAAACACAUGUACUGGUUC